AAAAUGAUGAAGCACAUUCACUCUGCUAAAUUAAAAAUAAUAAAAGGAAAAAAAUAAUAAAAGGUUUAAAAGUUUAAGAAGCAGGGGAAAAUGGAAGACAGGAUGUAACCAAAUUAUAUAAAGCAAUUGGUUUCUGGUUUGAGGAGUCCAUUCAAAACCAUCACACGGGAUGCCAAGAGCAAUGCCUCAGUCCACCACUGGAGAAACUUCAUCUUGCCAGGUUUUUGGAAAGUUUCUACACCCCAUAAGUCUCUCCGCCCAUGCAGCAAUCCAAAUCAGACCAAAUCAAACUGAAUUAGAAAA
rnacentral:lncRNA from 1 species